ACCACCGCACCACGCUCUCGCCUAGCCUGCGAGCCUGGUAGACUGGCCUGCAAAAGCCUGCCAAAAAAAUAAGCUCGCGGUGUGACGGACUAGUCCGCUUUGAUAGUACUAGUUGUAUGGACCGUGGUCCAGGUUUGUGGCUAUUGGAUUGUACCGUUUAAAGAGCACCGGAAAUCCGAACCGACUUUAUCUCCGGUGCGGCUUUCAGAGCCGAUAACUUCUUCUCCGGGAGGCAGAUUUUCUGGGCGAAAGUUUACUCAGAGGGUAAUUGUUUGAAGAUUAAACUCCCAACAGAGAUGGAUCCUAGAUACGCAGGAGAAACGCAAAAACAUUUAGAGAAGGAAUACGAGCUCCUUAUGGAAGUCUAUAAUUCGAUGUCGCACGAAUUGCAUACGCUUCAGGUUGAGGAAGAAAUGCUGAUGCGCAAGUUCUAUGAACUCAUGACUGCUCGUGGUCAAACUGAAAGCAAAGCAGCAGAUAAUGAUGGCAUGGAUAACCAACAGAAGGGUGCUGAAUGAGCUUUAGUCAGUGUGAGGAGUGAUGAGCAGUAAUGCUGCAAUGGUGCGUUUGAUCUUUUCAUUUUGGAUCUGUAAAUUCUGUAGUCUGUCAACAUUGCAUAUUGAGAUUUGCUGUUAUGGAGGUAAUUCUUUAUUCUUGUGUUUUUCAAAGAACCAUCCUUUUAAAUUCGUGGCUCUGUUCUUAGUA